rnacentral:rRNA from 1 species
GACAGAGGGUGCAAACGUUGUUCGGAAUUACUGGGCGUAAAGCGCGUGUAGGCUGCUUCGAAAGUCGGAUGUGAAAGCCCUGGGCUCAACCUAGGAAGUGCAUUCGAAACUUCGAGCUUGAGUUCUGGAGAGGAAGGCGGAAUUCUCGGUGUAGAGGUGAAAUUCGUAGAUAUCGAGAGGAACACCGGUGGCGAAGGCGGCCUUCUGGACAGUGACUGACGCUGAG